rnacentral:tRNA from 2 species
GGGGACGUAGCUCAGUUGGGAGAGCGGCGGCUUUGCAAGCCGUAGGUCGUGAGUUCGAAUCUCAUCGUCUCCA